UAGUCGUACAGCGAGCCGUUCUCGUGGUAGUGGGUGAUCAGCCACAGCUGGGUGCUGGAGUUACGAGAAGUCAUGUCCGACGCCAUGAACUCUGGGAGGAGUCAAAGAGAAGACGCGUCAGUUGAGGUUUUCUACGUCGCAGACUCACCAAGUAUGUUUUCAUGCCGCAGCAGCACCGUGCUGUAGAUUUCCGUUUCUCUGAACCAAGACUUUUCAUCUCUGGAGGAGAAGAUUUUCACCGCCACGUUCUCGCCCUGCCACUGGCCUCGCCACACCUCGCCAUACCGGCCCUUACCUGAGGAGGACAAACCGACGACUGACUGCAAGGACUAGAAUCUGUAUUUUGAACUUUCCAGAUGAAUUUUUUAAAGAAAAAAAAUAAAGCAUAUUUAAAAUGUAAGUUUUAAACAGAAAUUCUUCAGGCACUGUUACUUUAAAUCCAUUAACAACAAAUCCUGAAAAUGUUUUCUACAGUUUUUCCAUCCUCAAAGAUUUUCUGACCACAGAUCUGGUAGAUUUAUGAAAAGAAGAUUUAGCAACAAUUAAAUAAAAAAAAAUCUGGAGAAAAAAAAAA